UGGGGAAUAUUGCACAAUGGGGGAAACCCUGAUGCAGCGACGCCGCGUGAAGGAAGAAGUAUCUCGGUAUGUAAACUUCUAUCAGCAGGGAAGAAAAUGACGGUACCUGACUAAGAAGCCCCGGCUAACUACGUGCCAGCAGCCGCGGUAAUACGUAGGGGGCAAGCGUUAUCCGGAUUUACUGGGUGUAAAGGGCGCGCAGGCGGGCCCGCAAGUUGGGAGUGAAAUCCGGGGGCUUAACCCCCGAACUGCUUUCAAAACUGCGAGUCUUGAGUGAUGGAGAGGCAGGCGGAAUUCCGUGUGUAGCGGUGAAAUGCGUAGAUAUACGGAGGAACACCAGUGGCGAAGGCGGCCUGCUGGACAUUAACUGACGCUGAGGCGCGAAAGCGUGGGGAGCAAACAGGAUUAGAUACC
rnacentral:rRNA from 1 species